GAUGAACGCUGGCGGCGUGCCUAAUACAUGCGAGUCGAGCGAACAGACGAGGAGCUUGCUCCUCUGACGUUAGCGGCGGACGAGUGAGUAACACGUGGAUAACCUACCUAUAAGACUGGGAUAACUUCGGGAAACCGGAGCUAAUACCGGAUAAUAUAUUGAACCGCAUGGUUCAAUAGUGAAAGACGGUUUUGCUGUCACUUAUAGAUGGAUCCGCGCCGCAUUAGCUAGUUGGUAAGGUAACGGCUUACCAAGGCAACGAUGCGUAGCCGACCUGAGAGGGUGAUCGGCCACACUGGAACUGAGACACGGUCCAGACUCCUACGGGAGGCAGCAGUAGGGAAUCUUCCGCAAUGGGCGAAAGCUUGACGGAGCAACGCCGCGUGAGUGAUGAAGGUCUUCGGAUCGUAAAACUCUGUUAUUAGGGAAGAACAAAUGUGUAAGUAACUAUGCACGUCUUGACGGUACCUAAUCAGAAAGCCACGGCUAACUACGUG
rnacentral:rRNA from 1 species